rnacentral:rRNA from 1 species
GACAGAGGGUGGCAAACGUUGCUCGGAAUCACUGGGGCGUAAAGGGCGGUGUAGGCGGGAAGGAAAGUCAGAUGUGAAAAGUCCCCUGGGCCUCGAACCCAGGAACUGCAUUUGAAACUCCCUUUCUUGAGUGUCGGAGAGGAAAGUGGAAUUCCUGGUGUAGAGGUGAAAUUCGUAGAUAUCAGGAGGAACACCGGUGGCGAAGGCGGCUUCUGGACGACAACUGACGCUGGAGGAGCGGAAAGCGUGGGGAGCAAACAGG